AGGGAGGCGUCCUUGUGGGUCCUCCUGGGAUGAUGUUUCAAGUCAGCGACAACGGUGCCCCUCCUGCAGGGCAGCCCCCAGCCCGGCCAUUUCAGCGUGGCUGCCUGAGACCUCUGCCAGGUGCGGGGAUGAGUCAGAGUCAGGACAACCAGAACUUGGCAUGCGGUAGGCCUGCAGCAAGCAUUCCCUGAGUAAACCAAUGCUUGUGCAAGACUUUAAGAAGACAGAGUGCUCCUGUGUAGAGGUCAUGGCAGGGAGGCAGAGAACUAGAUAGAGAUCUUCCAU